rnacentral:lncRNA from 1 species
AUGUGGCCUGCCUGCCACCCCCCCAUGCACCGGGUCCUCCAGGCCUCCUCGACCCACCUUCAACCCACCUGGGGUGUCUGUGCGUUCCCAGCCCAGAUGCAUCUUGGAGCCUUCCACCCGCACCCCAUCUCCUGCCCCAACAGGCUGGGCCCCUCCUCCUGGACUGGCCAGGCCAGCAGCUCCGCAGGGGCCUCAGGACGCCCGAAGGCCCGGGCCGCAGGUGCAGGACCCUCUGCGCGGGAGCUGGGGGAUCGCUCCUCUGCUCCGCGCGCUUUUGUGAAAGGGCCUCCGACCCUCCCGCUGCCCCGCUCGCUCUGCCCGCGCACCCCGGCCGUCUGGGGGCCGCCCCCGCUCCCCGCUCCCCGCUCCCCGCUCCCCGCUCCCCGCAGCGGCCCCCUCGACCCGCCCAGCUCGCCCCGUGCACAGACUCGCGGCAGCUGCGAGCGGAGCCGACCUGCCCCGCGGGGAACGCGCGAGCUGGACCCGCCCAGACGCGAACUCUCCUGGAAACACGCCCCUGGCCGUUUUCCCGCUGCCUUUAGCGUGAACCGCGGGUGCGGUGCCUCGCGUGAAAACAGCAAAUUCCCUGUCACGCUUGCUGCGAACGCGGGGUGUUCCCGAAACUCGGCGGCUUCCCGUAAACCCCGCUCCUUCCUCAUCGGGGGGUGGGUCCGGCGCGGGUCCGCCGCCUCCUCCCGGCCCCUCCCUCUCGUCUGUUUCAUUUUCCUGGGGCUCCGGGGCCGGAGAAGCUGCAUCCCGGAGGAGCGCGUCCCGCAGCGGACCCGGAAGUGUCCCGAGAGCCAGUGACAAGGACCAGGGGCCCCUGAGGCUGCCGAAGUCCCGCCAGCCAUGCAGACCUGGCCCCUGGUGUUCCCCGGCCCCGUUUCCUGGCCCUUUGGGGCCCUCCUGCUCCUGGCUGCCUCCUUGAGUGCUCAGAAUGAAGGUAGGUCUCAGGGUCCUGCCUCUCUGCUGGGGAAAGGGGAGCCCGGUGGGGGCGUGGCAGGGGUGGGAGGGGUGGACUGAGGUUGGGUCCAGACGCCACCAGGCCCCCGAUAAUGACUGACUCUGCAGACCCAAGGCCCGACCAUGCGGAACUGGGCUGCUCCAGGCAGUGGUGGGCCGGCCGCGUCCCGCCAUGGAUGGAGGCAGUGGUGGGUGGGCUGUGUCUUGCCAUGGAUGACGGGCAGCGGUGGCCGCUGUGGUACCUGGUGGUCACUGUCAGAGCAAUUGUGAGGAAGGACCAAGAUCACGACCAGUUUCUAAGCGAGAGGGUCUGGGUCAGUUACGACCUGUGCUGUGGCCGGGAAACAGACAGCAGCCCUGGCCUGGGGGUUCCUUAGGCGUAUCUCAGGCCUGCCAGGAGUGGAUCGGCAUUUGAACAAGGUCCCCCAGUGAGAUCCUCCCCAGCUCUCUAGACCCCCAGCCUGUGCAGCAAAGUCACCUGAGGGGCUUUUCUUUUCUUUUUUUUUGAGACAGGGUCUACCUCUAUCACCCAGGCUGGACACCCAGGCUGGACACCCAGGCUGGGGUGCGGUGGUGCAGUCAUGGCUCAUUGCAGCCUUGACCUCCUGGGCUCAGGUGAUCCUCCCACCUCAGCCUCCCGAGUAGCUGGGACCACAGAUAUGCACACCAUACCUGGCUAAACUGUGUAUUUUUUGUAGAGACAGGGUUUUGCCAUGUUGCUCAGGCUGGUCUCAAACUCCUGAGCUCAAGUGAUCCUCCCACUCGGCCUCCCAAAAUGCUAGGAUUACAGGCGUGAGCCACUGAGCCACCCGAGGGGCUUUUAAAAGGUGUCAGAGCUCAGCCACAUCCCAAACCACAUCCCAAAGCAGUUCAGUCAGAAUCCUAAGAACAAACAAAAAACAAAACAAAACCGAAACGGAAGAAUCCCAGGUGGAGGAACCCAGGUUUCGGGAGAUUCUGGCCCCGCCCCCCAAGAGUGGCUCCAAAGUGCAACUGGCUGGGGCCCCCCCGACAGCCGCACGCUGCUCUCUGGACAGUGUGAAUUUGUGCAAUGGCCUGUAGAGGCCCUGAGGUCCCUGAACACUCAGAGUGCCCAGACAGGCAGCCAGCCUGCUCGUCCGAGGAAACUCAGUCCAGCCUGAAGGCCAGGUGCCCCUGAAGCCCACCCCCUCCCAUGGGCACCAAGGCCCCUGGCACUUGCCAGCAUGUGGCACCUGCCAUGUGGUUUUGUAUUUGGUGAAAUGUGGCCAAAUGGUGGCUCCACCCAGCACGCUGUGUGCUCCCCAAGAGCUCACCCUGCCGUCCGUCCGUCCGUCCGUGUCCAGUCACAGGGGACGCUGACGCAGCAGGGACAGUGGCAGCACCAAGACCCCACGCUGGUGCCGUGCUCGGGGCCACACAACCUGAAUCUCAGGCAUCCCUGAGCUGGCUGCUGGGGCAAAGGCCCUGGCCCUCUGAGGGAAGCAGCUGCACGGGUCGCUAUUGGGCAGGGUGCACCCAGGAGGCGGGAGAGAGAGACUGACACACUGGCUUGUUACAAGAGCUUGACCUCCCAGGACUGUGGAGCUGUGUGUGGAGCUGGCCCGGCCGCCUGGAGCUGAGCGGGCGCCCGGGAGGGGGAUGUUGGGGACGGCACAGGCUGGGUCGCACAAGGACAGACUGGAACCUGCGUCUGCUCUGCUGGCCUCUGAGGCUGGCCUGUGGGUGUCCGCAGAAGUCCUGCCCUUCCUCACACAGCCAAGCACCUGCACCUGGCCUUGGCCUUGGAGAAACUGAGUGGGGAGCUGAGGGCGGUGGAGCUUGGCCACUGCUUCCCAUGAAGAGGGUGAGUCGGCAGGUCAGCAGCAGCACUCCUGCCACAGCGCAGUCGCCCGGCACACCCCUGAGGGUCGGGCUUCGCCCACCCCAGUGGGAAAUGUACAGGGGAGGGAGUUGAUAGGAAAUGUCUUCAUCCAAGCUGACACACCCCAAGGAACAGACAUGGGUAUGAGGGGCUGCUCGCCGCCGCCAUGCGCCGCCUGCCCUCGAGAUAACCGCCGCCGCCUGGAUGCUGCCGCCGGACCGCCGCUGGGGCCGUGCCGCCUCGGAUG